AAGGGCAUGGACGAUAUGUCGAAUCGAAGUAAAAAAGCCCUUUUUUAGGGUCGACAUGUAAAAAACUGGCAACAUCGGUAUAAUUAGGAAGUGUAGCAGACAAACCUACUAAUCGAACUUGUUCAAGAGUUUCCUCCUGAUGGCGAAAUAUACGAGCAACUAUAGAUUCUAAUACAGGACCUCGUUCAUCAUGAAGCAAAUGAACCUCAUCAAUAAUAACU